AUUCUGGAGGGGACAGAGCUAGCAGAUCAGACCUAACUGGAAAUCUGCUGUGCCAGUAUAUAUUUCAGUGAUGUGAGCCAAUAUAUCCCCUUGAUUGCUCAAAGUAGUUUGGUCGAUAUAUUUUGUUGCUUUAAAUUGAACACAUUCUUAUGUACAGCCUCUGUCUCCUCAUCUCCAACCAAGCAAAAUAGCUUGUUCUCUUUAUGCAGGGACACAUGACAUUUCCCACGUGGCUUUGUGCAUAUCUCCACCUCAAUUUAAAAUGCCUUCCAAUCCCUGCUCAAAGUCAAACAGCUUAAUAAUGGUAGACAUAGAAUUUGACUUAUUCUAAUAAUAGGUCUUUUAAACAAUGCCUUCUUCUCUUCAUUCUUUCCUUCUUAGAGUGGGUAUUCUUUCUGGUGCAUCAUGUAAAGGAAGAUUGAGCCUCAUAUUUCAUAUCUGCCCCUGGCCUAAUGGUUGUUUACAGAAUGAGCUCAAUGAAUAUUGUUAAAUAACACUAACAAAGUUGACCUUAGAAUUGGAGUGCCUGGGUUAGAACCCUGCUGGUACCACCUGCUUACUGCAUGCUUCUGAUGUGAGUUCAGGAGAAGACACUGGCAAGGACAGCAAAGAACAGGAGAACACUCUAGCUUCCCUGAUAGCAUUCAAGGUGCUGUCCAAACUGACUGUGAUGGCACCCUCCAGACAGACAGCGAUGCCACAUGUUCAAGAUGGCAGAAUCACUAUCAGCUUCAAUUCCUGAAUGACUGCAGAGCAAAAUUUCUUACCUGCAACAUACACUCUAUUUUCAGCCUCCCUGGACUGUUACAUAAUGAUACAUAAAAAUAUUUCUUGUGUUGAGG
ensembl:lncRNA CASC19 cancer susceptibility 19